rnacentral:lncRNA from 1 species
CAUAAUGUCUUUUCAGGGUUGGGGCCCUGGGGCCUUACCCCCAACCUGCUCCCCUAUCCCUUCCCUUGGACUACCCAUCUCCAACUCUGCUAUGCUGCCCACCUCCCACCAGGCUCCCCCAUCCUGUCAAGGGCCCUCACACCUACACAUGCUUCUUCUGAGCCCAUUUACUGGAACUUGUAAACACAGACUCCUUUCUUUCCUGCCACACCCGCUUCUGGGCUAUAAACACCACAAGAACAGGAACCAGAUGAGCGUUCAGACCCUGGAUCCUCCCCAUGGGCAGUCCUCCUUAAACACUGGAUGAAUAACUGAGAAGCCUCCAAGGCUGGGCUCUCCUGGGCUGCCUUCCCUCCCGACUGCCUGCUCCAGGUCUCAUCGUCUCAGGACCCGGGAAAAAGUCCCAUUGCCAUGAAGGCCCCGUGAGAGGAAGGCUGGGCUUUGGCGUCAGAAAGGCCGAGGUUUAAGUGCUCUCCAGCUGCUUACAUGCUGAGUGGCUGUGGAUGCUCUUGCUGCCUCUUCCCAUUCCCUCAGCAUGCUGGCUGAACUUCCCACAGCCAGCACCUGUGAGUCUUCACUCGAGGCUUCUCUCUUGGGCUGCACUGUCCAAAUACAGGUUGCCCUCCAACUGGCUGAGGACCCCUCGGUGCCUUCCCACUCUUCAGUCAUGGCUACUGCAAGUGCCAGGAAGCUGACAUGUGGACUGUAGUCACCACUCCCUUCCCUCUAAAUUUGGCAGGAUAUUGGAGGAAGGUAGGAGAAGGAGGUCUGGGUAUUUAUUCUUUAGCUACUCUAUUAGUCCGUUUUCAUACUGCUAAUAAGGACAUAACCAAAACUGGGUAAUUUAUGCAGGAAAAAGGUUUCAUGGACUCACUGUUCCACAUGGCUGGGGAGACCUCACAAUCAUGGCUGAAGGCAAGGAGGAGCAAGUCAUGUCUUACAUGGAUGUCAGCAGGCAAAAAGAGAGCUUGUGCAGGGAAAGUCCCCCUUAUAAAAUGAUCAGAUUUCAAGAGACUUAUUCAGUAUCAUGAGAACAGCAUGGGAAAGACCUGCCCCAAUGGUUCAAUUACUUCCCACCGGGUC